UUAGCAAAAAUAUCUUUGAUUUUCAAAUAUCAAGUAUAUAACUAUUUUUUUGAUUGAUUUUUAAUUGUAUUUUUUGAUUAAAUUAUUGUAUUAUAAUGUUUAAGUAAAUAUUUUUUGUGAUGUUUGAAUUUGUGAUGUUCGUAUACUUAACCUAGAUGAUAUUGAUGUUUAACAAUUUAUUGUUUUCUGGAAAUAAAAAAUAAUGAUAUAUCAAAA
rnacentral:lncRNA from 1 species